rnacentral:lncRNA from 1 species
GUCACACUCACGCUCUCUCCCUCUCCACUCUGUCGUGACUCACUGAACGAGACUGAAAGAACAGCACUGGGUAGGGGCUUAGAUGAGAGGGAUGCUGGCUGCCACUCUUGGUGCCUUGGUGGUGUGGUGGAUUGCACCCAUUUUAAAGGAAGACAAAAUUCCUGGCCUUUCGGUCCUGCACAAUUGAGGGAUCACAACUCCUCGUCCUCUGCGCGCUGAAAGAGCUACAGCCUGAACUGCCUCCUCCCGGCCCAGUGCUGAGGAUAAAUGUAAGGAGGGACUGAACAUCGUAUAAUGCCGACUUGAAGACUAUCAUCAGAAUCAUGAAAACAUCCUUUAAAAUCCUUGUAACGCUUUAGGUUCAAAUAAAGAUAAUUUUUAAACACUGCAGGGAUCACGAUUAGCUGAAUACUCAUUAUCUCUCCUUUUCACUGAUGUUGUAGUCUUUGAAACUAUUACUAAAAACCCAUGAAAACACUCUUGAAAACACUGGCAUCGUCCACAACAGUCUUGGAAGUAGUCGAGAUAAGACAUCCAGUACGUUAUAUGAACAUUUAUUUACUAUCAGAAUGUGUGUGAGCGUUUAUCUCCCGUUACAUUCAAUACUUUUGUACUUGUAUGAAAUCCGCAACAAUAUAUUCAUGCAUCAUGUCAUUUAAAAUA